CAUAUUUUGGGGAAGGGGAGAAAAAAGAACCGGUGCGGAGGUGAAUCGUCUCUUUGUUGCCGAUGGUGUCGUAGUAUCUCUGUAGCCGGCGCUGAGACCCACACGUGUAGCCGUAUCAAAGCUCAGUAAUUCUAAUAUUGGCGUGACCCAUUCUUCACAACCAUGUUUCUCUCUCUGCCUCACUUCACUCCUUCACAGUCUCUAACCAGAAAAACCUAUUAACACUCCAAAUCUUCAAGGAAGCCAAAUACAAGUACCCCAAUUACUUGUGCGAAUGUCCUGGAAUCAGCUACCAUCUAAUUGCAAAGGUUGAUGUCAAAGUUUUGAAUUGAAGAUUGCAAAUUGUUUUAUUCGGUUGUAAGUUUGCUGUGAGCUUUGAACAUUGGUUCUAAUGUGAUAUUGUGAUGUACUUGUGUGGUUUGGAAUACUUGUCUUAAUUUGGAAUUGUAAUGUUUUUGGUUCAUUAGAAGGUUGGUGGUAUUGGCGGAAGUUAGUACUUAGUAGGUUAGUAUUUGCAAAUGAUUUAGGGUUGAUUUUGUUUU